AGAAGACACGCUGAUGAAUCUGCACCAUUAAAACUACAUGCCUUACACGUAACACUAAUGUGGUAAGCCAUGGCGACGUGGUAGAAUUAGAGAAGAGAGAUUUGAAACCAAACUUCCUAUAUAUACCUAAACUUUUUAGCAACAAUUCACUCGCAAUGCCUCAAAAGCCAAUAAAUGGUAUUCUUAUGCCGUCAUUGCUAUCCAUUUUUCUCUCUUAGCAUUUCUCCCUCUUUCUUUUUCUUCAAACAAAACCUCUUAAAUUUCAACCCUCCACUAAUCAAUGGUAUUUGGAACUCAAAAUUCAGCAGCUCGAACAUUAUACUUUCAUUCAUGCUGGUAGAUACACCAAGGGGGAUAAAAUGGAAUUACAAAAAGUUUUCCAUUUCUAUGACUUGGACUCGACACCUCUGGUUAAUAGUGGAAGAGAUUUUAAUAUCCUUCCACACCCUUUGCUGAGUUUACAUGGAGAAGUGAUGAAUAACCCGCUUAUUACUACUCCAUGUGCUCAUAACUUCAGCAAGGCAUGUUUGCAGGUCAAUCCUUUACAAGACAGAUAUCUUAAUGACUUCAUGGGACUCCAAAACCUGAUCAUUACUAACAAGCCUUUCCUUUCUUCAUAAAGGAAGAGAAUCGGAAAGCUUUGAUGCGAGGAAAGUCAGUCUAUAAAGACAGACUAAUUCUCAAAAAAGACUUUUUUCGAAUUUUUUCUGGAUUUUGAUGAAUGUGAUUGAAUCUCUCAAGCCCCAAAUUGAGGAAGAAAAUGCAGCUACAGCUGAUGAAGAAGAAGGUGCAAUAUAAUAGAUUGCCCUAGUUAUUACAUUUCUAAUAUUCUAUUCUUUAAAUUUCAUGGUUUUGAUAUUUCGAAUUGGAUUCUUAUUUUUUAUGACCGUGGAUACCUACCGCCAACAA